GUGCCAGCAGCCGCGGUAAGACGUAGGGCGCGAGCGUUGUCCGGAUUUAUUGGGCGUAAAGAGCUCGUAGGCGGCUUGUCGCGUCGACUGUGAAAUCUCAGGGCUCAACUCUGACAUUGCAGUCGAUACGGGCAGGCUAGAGUUCGGUAGGGGAGACUGGAAUUCCUGGUGUAGCGGUGAAAUGCGCAGAUAUCAGGAGGAACACCGAUGGCGAAGGCAGGUCUCUGGGCCGAUACUGACGCUGAGGAGCGAAAGCGUGGGGAGCGAACAGGAUUAGAAACCCCCGUAGUCC
rnacentral:rRNA from 1 species